rnacentral:rRNA from 1 species
UGCCCCAGUAACGGCGAGUGAAGCGGCAAGAGCUCAAAUUUGAAAUCUGGCCUCCCCCGGGGGCCCGAGUUGUAAUUUGCAGAGGAUGCUUCGGGUGCGGCCGCCGUCUAAGUUCCUUGGAACAGGACGUCAGAGAGGGUGAGAAUCCCGUCUUGGGCGGGCGGUCCGCGCCCGUGUGAAGCUCCUUCGACGAGUCGAGUUGUUUGGGAAUGCAGCUCUAAGCGGGUGGUAAAUUUCAUCUAAAGCUAAAUAUUGGCCGGAGACCGAUAGCGCACAAGUAGAGUGAUCGAAAGGUUAAAAGCACCUUGAAAAGGGAGUUAAACAGCACGUGAAAUUGUUGAAAGGGAAGCGCUUGCGGCCAGACUCGGGGGCGGGGUUCAGCGGGUGCUCGUCGCCCGUGUAUUCCUCGUCUCCCGGGCCAGCAUCAGUUUCGACGGCCGGUCAAAGGCCCCCGGAAUGUGUCGUCUCUCGGGACGUCUUAUAGCCGGGGGUGCAAUGCGGCCCGUCGGGACUGAGGAACGCGCUCCGGCUCG